GAUUAGGAAGUGCUCUCACUCCCACUUCACCCGAGGGUGAACAGGCGCAGCGCCGUCCUACAGCGUUGGAACAGCUGUUUUGAGGUAUUUAUUUGGCCUCCCUCUCCACAAGAGCUGAGCACCUCACAAUCACUAAUGGAUUUUGCUGGGUUUGUCUUGUUUCCUGCACCCCAAAGAAGUUCUGCCCAGAGAUUAAACGUCUCCUUUCUGGGAAGCGGUUUGCGAAAAUAAAACCAGAAUGUCUCGAAGAAUCCCAGAUCAACAGUCAAAGUGAUGAUUCCAAAAGAGGUCAUUGAUAAAGAUGUUAAAUAGUGUAGAGCCAAGAACAAUUCCCUGUAGGACCCGAUUGGAAACAGAGCUGCACGAUGAAGAUUUCCCAUUUACAGUUACAUUACAGUUAGCCAGUUUUUAAUCCAUUUAAUAUGUGAUAUGUACAUUUUUAUAUCUCUAGUUUUUAAUCAAAAUUUCAUGUUGUACCAAGUCAAACACUUUUCAGAAGCUUAAAUAUAUUACGUCAACACUAUUAACUUUAUCAGCCAAACUUGUAAUCUCAUUAAAAAAGAUAUCAAGUUAGUUUGACAGGAUCUAUUUUCCACUGCCCCAUAUUUAUUUGUAUUAAUUACAGUACCCUCCUCUAGUUCAUUAGUAAUCAAGGCCUGUGUCAGUUACUCCGUUAUCUUACUCAAGAUUGAUGUCAGGCUGAAAGGCCUAUAAUUACCCAGGUCAGACCCAUUUACCCUUUUAAAAACUGGCACAACUUUAGCUUUCUUCCAGUCUUCUAGAACUUCCCCAGUGCUCCAAGACUUACUGAAAAUCAUUAUUAAUGGUUCAUGUAACUCCUCAGGCAGCUCAUUUAAAACUCUUGGAUGCAAGUUAUCUGGAUCUGUUUAUUUUUAAAUUUCUGUCUUUAGUAGCUUCUGUUUAAUAUCUUUCAGAGAUACUGGUGGAAAGAGUAUUAUCAUCACCAUGUAAUGAGACUAUAUCAUCUGUUUUUCCCCAAAUAUAGAACAGAAAUAUUUAUUGAACAUCUCUGCCUUUUCUGCAUUAUUAUUGACAAUUCUACCAUUUCCAUCUAGUAAUGAAUCCACACCAUUGUUGGGAUUCUUAUUCUUCCUGAUACAUUAAAAAAACUCCUUCUAACUAUUCCUUUAUAUGCUGGCCAGCCAUUUUUAUAUACAUAUAUAUAAGG